rnacentral:lncRNA from 1 species
AAAAUAGGGAGUAUUAAUUUUAUUGACUCAUAUUUUAGAUAUUAAAUUUGAAAUUAUGAAAAUUUCAUAUAUUUCAUUACACAUGUAUCGAACACCCUACUUUUAUGUGUUAUCUUUACAAUUUUUUUCUUAAAUUAGAUUGUAACAUAUAAUUUGCUAUUUUGUUUAUAAUAGUGUUAUCGAACACCCCAUUUCAUUACACAUGUAUC